UACGUAGGUGGCAAGCGUUGUCCGGAAUUAUUGGGCGUAAAGCGCGCGCAGGUGGUUUCUUAAGUCUGAUGUGAAAGCCCACGGCUCAACCGUGGAGGGUCAUUGGAAACUGGGGAACUUGAGUGCAGAAGAGGAAAGUGGAAUUCCAAGUGUAGCGGUGAAAUGCGUAGAGAUUUGGAGGAACACCAGUGGCGAAGGCGACUGUCUGGUCUGUAACUGACACUGAGGCGCGAAAGCGUGGGGAGCGAACAGG
rnacentral:rRNA from 1 species